rnacentral:rRNA from 1 species
UACGUAGGUGGCAAGCGUUGUCCGGAUUUAUUGGGUUUAAAGGGUGCGUAGGCGGCUUUGUAAGUCAGUGGUGAAAUAUGGCAGCUCAACUGUCAGGGUGCCAUUGAUACUGCGGAGCUUGAGUACAGAUGAGGUAGGCGGAAUUGACGGUGUAGCGGUGAAAUGCGCAGAUAUCAGGAGGAACACCAAUUGCGAAGGCAGCUCGCUGGGACGUUACUGACGCUGAGACGCGAAAGCGUGGGGAGCAAACAGG